rnacentral:rRNA from 1 species
UACGUAGGGGGCUAGCGUUGUCCGGAUUUAUUGGGUUUAAAGGGUGCGUAGGCGGUCUUAUAAGUCAGUGCUGAAAUAUCCCGGCUUAACCGGGAGGGUGGCAUUGAUACUGUAGGACUUGAGUAAAGUUGAGGUUGGCGGAAUUGACGGUGUAGCGGUGAAAUGCUUAGAUAUCGUCAAGAACACCGAUAGUGUAGACAGCUAACUAAGCUUUAACUGACGCUGAGGCACGAAAGUGUGGGGAUCAAACAGG